AACAUCCAAAGAGGAACGUACAAGCAGUUCAUCGACGAGACGCGGGAGGCGCUAGCGUCGGGCGAUAAGGAACUGGCCGCCAAACUAAAGAAAAAACUGCCCGCUUUCACCCCACAGGCCACCUACUCCGGGAAACGCCUCGACCCUCACAUCACCCGCUAUAACCAAUUGGUGGUACUCGACAUCGACCACGUAGGGGAACGGGAGCUGGAGCGUAUCACCCCGCUCGCCACGGAAGCGCCCUACACCGUGGCGUAUUUCCGCAGUCCCAGCGGCGACGGGGCGAAACUCAUCGCCUACGCCGCCACGGACGAGACCGCCACGCUGGGUAAUCACCGGAGGGUCUACGAAGCCAUGAGCCGUUGGUACGCCGCCCGGCUCGGCGUGGAGCUGGAUACCUCGGGCAGCGACAUCGGGCGGCUUUGCUUCGUAUCGGACGAUCCCGCCCUAUACCUCUCGCCUGCCUACCGCCCUUGGCUGGAGGGUACCGGCGAGCUACCGGAGGGCCUCGCCCCGCUACCCCUUACUUGGAAGGAGGAGGUUAGCGAGACGGCUCCCGGGGCGAAGGAAAGGAAGGUGGCCUCGCCACUGGAGAAGGCACGCCGGACCGCCGAGCGGAAAGGCGCCUACGCCGAGGGCAACCGCAAUAACUUCAUCUUCGUCAUGGCCGCACGGGCGAACCGGCUGGGCGUGAAGCGGGCCGAGAUGGAGGCUUACGCCGAUACCGCCUUCGCCGACUUGCCGGCGGAGGAGCGCCUCGCCGCCAUCGAGAGCGCCUACAGCCACGUGGAGGAGCACGCCGCCGAGACGAGCGCCGCCACCUCCCGGAAAAAGGGCGGGGGCCCGCUGGACGUGGUCGCCGUGGAGAAUUAUAUAUCCGAGCGUUUCCUCACCCGCAAGAACGGCGUGAGGGGGUACGUGGAGGUGGCCUCGAAGAAAAAGCGGAACGGUCAAAAGCCGGUCUUCAAGCCGGUGACCGACUACUGGGUGAACUCGCUCUGGCGGAGUCUCCUGAAGGACGGCCACUACUGCUCGCAUAACGACAUCCGGGCCAUACUGAUGUCGGACUUCAGCGAGACGUUCCACCCUUUCCGCUCGUAUUUCGAGGGGCUGGCCCCGUGGGACGGGGUGACGGACUGGAUCGGGCAGCUGGCCGAUACCGUGGACACCACCCGGCCCGCCUUCUGGCGGGGUUGCCUCAAGCGCUGGCUUAUCGCGCAAGUGGCCGGCUCCAUGGAGCUAGGCGUGGAAAACCAUACCAUCCUGCUGCUGGCCGGCGGGCAGGGGCUGGGCAAGACCUCGUGGCUGCGGAACCUCGUGCCGCCCGAGUUGCGGGACUAUCUUUUCACGGGCAAUGUCAAUCCGUAUAGCAAGGGUUUCCCGCAGAUGAUGGUGGACUGCCUCUUGAUCGUCAUCGACGAGAUGUCCGGCCAGACGGGGAGUUUGACUGGGGCGGUCGCCUCCGAAAGGGUAUCGGAGGCGCCCAAAGGUUCCCUCAGAAUGGACGGAAACCAUUCGAAGAGUGCAAAGGCAGAAGGGAGCUUGACUGCGACACCGACGGGUGGAGCAGGUACGAAAGUAGGACUUAGUGAUCCGGUGGUAUUAAGUGGGAAUGCCAUCGCUCAACGGAUAAAAGCUACCCUGGGGAUAACAGGCUUAUCACUCCCAAGAGUUCACAUCGACGGAGUGGUUUGGCACCUCGAUGUCGGCUCAUCGCAUCCUGGGGCUGUAGUAGGUCCCAAGGGUUGGGCUGUUCGCCCAUUAAAGCGGUACGCGAGCUGGGUUCAGAACGUCGUGAGACAGUUCGGUCCCUAUCCGGCGUGGGCGUAGGAUAUCUGAGAGGAGCUGUCCUUAGUACGAGAGGACCGGGAUGGACGGGCCGCUGGUGCACCGGUUAGACUGCCAAGUCUAUAGCCGGGUAGCCAAGCCCGGAAGGGAUAAACGCUGAAGGCAUCUAAGCGUGAAGCCCCCCUCAAGAUGAGAUAUCCCAUUCGAAAGAAGUAAACCCCCUUGAAGACGACGAGGUAGAUAGGGCAGAGGUGGAAGUGUGGCAACACAUGGAGCUGACUGUUACUAAUAGGUCGAGGGCUUGAUUA
rnacentral:rRNA from 1 species